rnacentral:lncRNA from 1 species
AUGAGCCUCUGGUGCUCCUGUGGGUGCAGCAUGAGCCCCCCUCCCCCCGAGAGAGACAAAGACGUCCACCGCCUUUGCCCAAGGCGGAGGGGAAACUCAUGCGCUCGCUGUCCCACAGGCUUCCAGCGGCUGGAGAAAGGCUCGCGCAAGCGGAAGGUGGCAGCAUCCAAGGGAAGCAAUUCCCCGAGUGCGAAACCAGAGCAUCCAGCCCGUUGCCCCUGCCGCCGAAAUCCCCUCUGCUGGAAGGGCCGCCGGCCCCAGGGGGCAGUGAAGAUCUGUGCUUGCCGAGCCUCAGGCAAGUCAGGAGGACGCUGGCGCAGCGAGGGAAACAACCCAGUGAAUCUGGCAAAAGGGACCGAAGCCACUGUGUCGAAGCCCCCGCUAGGCUUGGUGCCGUCCAGGUACCCGCAGAAGAAGGAAGGAAGCAAAGUCCUCGGAGGGCUGACAGCCACCUCAGCCAGGGGGCCGGCCGGCCGUAGAGGUCCGAAGGCUGCAGAGCAGAAGCUGGGCUCCCAGAGGGCAUGCCAGGAGGGCUGCUGAUGGCACUGCCGCUGCCUGCCUCUCCUCCGGAAGGCUCCGGGUCAAAGAUGGCCUCUCACCCCGUGCCGGACCACAGCCGUCCCCCACGCUAACGCCACAUGAACCACUUCUUGCACUUUUGCUAUUGAGACUGUUGUUACGGACCCCAUCAGGAUCAUUCUGAAGAAGGGAGAAUAGAAAGCAGAUUAA